CACGUUCGAAUUGAAGGCUGAAAUUCGCCUUCAUGAAGUCGGAAUUGCUAGUAAUGGCAGGUCAGCAUACUGCCGUGAAUACGUUCCCGGGCCUUGUACACACCGCCCGUCACACCAUGAGAGUUGGAGAUACCCGAAGCCUGUGAGCUAACAGAAAUGGAGCAGCAGUCGAAGGUAGAAUCAAUGAUUGGGGUGAAGUCGUAACAAGGUACC
rnacentral:rRNA from 1 species